rnacentral:rRNA from 1 species
CGCGUAGGCGGGCUAUUAAGUUGGGGUGAAAUUCCGAGGCUUAACUUCGGAACUGCCUUCAAAACUAGGUAGCCUUGAGGUAUGGAGAGGGAAGUGGAAUUCCAGGUGUAGCGGUGAAAUGCGUAGAUAUCUGGAGGAACACCCGUGGCGAAGGCGGCUUCCUGGUCAUAUCCUGACGCUGAGGUGCGAAAGCUAGGGGAGCGAACG